UACGUAGGGGGCAAGCGUUAUCCGGAAUUACUGGGCGUAAAGGGUGUGCAGGCGGGGUUGCAAGUGGUGUAUGAAAUAUCCCAGCUUAACUGGGAGGGGUUAUGCCAGACUGCAACUCUAGAGGACGAGAGAGGGGGGUGGAAUUCCGGGUGUAGGUGGUGAAAUGCGUAGAGAUCCGGAGGAACCCCAGAGGCGAAGGCGGCCCCCUGGCUCGUACCUGACGCUCAGCCACGAAAGCAUGGG
rnacentral:rRNA from 1 species